rnacentral:rRNA from 1 species
AACGUAGGACGCAAGCGUUAUCCGGAGUUACUGGGCGUAAAGCGCGAGCAGGCGGCUCGACAAGUUCGAUGUGAAAGCGCCCGGCUCAACCGGGCGAGGCCAUUGGAAACUAUCGAGCUGGAGGGCAGUAGAGGCAGGCGGAAUUCCGGGUGGAGUGGUGAAAUGCGUAGAGAUCCGGAGGAACACCAUAGGCGAAGGCGGCCUGCUGGGCUGCACCUGACGCUGAGCCGCGAAAGCCAGGGGAGCGAACGGG